rnacentral:rRNA from 1 species
UACGUAGGGUGCAAGCGUUGUCCGGAAUUAUUGGGCGUAAAGGGCUCGUAGGCGGUCUGUUACGUCAGGAGUGAAAACUCGGGGCUCAACCCCGAGCCUGCUUCUGAUACGGGCAGACUGGAGGUAUGCAGGGGAGAACGGAAUUCCUGGUGUAGCGGUGAAAUGCGCAGAUAUCAGGAGGAACACCGGUGGCGAAGGCGGUUCUCUGGGCAUUACCUGACGCUGAGGAGCGAAAGUGUGGGGAGCAAACGGG